rnacentral:rRNA from 1 species
AUUGAACGCUGGCGGCAGGCCUAACACAUGCAAGUCGAACGAGUGGCGGACGGGUGAGUAAUGUCUGGGAAACUGCCCGAUGGAGGGGGAUAACUACUGGAAACGGUAGCUAAUACCGCAUACCAUCGGAUGUGCCCAGAUGGGAUUAGCUAGUAGGUGGGGUAAAGGCUCACCUAGGCGACGAUCCAGAGCUGGUCUGAGAGGAUGACCCGCCACACGGGAACUGCGCGACGGUCCAUACUCCUAGGUGAGGCAGCAGUGGGAAAUAUGGCACAAUGGGCGCAAGCCUUAUGCAGCCAUGCCGCUUGUGUGAAGAAGGCCUUCGGGUUGUAAAGUACUGUCAGCGAGGAGGCGUUACUCGCAGAAGAAGCAUCGGCUAACUCCGUGCCAGCAGCCGCGGUAAUUC